CUCGAGGCCAGAUCUAGAGUUUGAUCCUGGCUGAGGACGAACGCUGGCGGCGUGCCUAAUGCAUGCAAGUCGAGCGACGCAACGGCGGUGGGUAACCACUGCCGUUGACGGAGCGGCGAACGGGUGAGUAACACGUGAGCAACCUGCCCCGAAGACCGGGAUAGCCCGGGGAAACCCGGAUUAAUACCGGAUGACCUCGAUGGAUCGCAUGAUCCGUCGAGCAAAAGCUUUCGCGCUUCGGGAUGGGCUCGCGGCCUAUCAGCUCGUUGGUGAGGUAACGGCUCACCAAGGCUACGACGGGUAGCUGGUCUGAGAGGAUGGCCAGCCACACUGGGACUGAGACACGGCCCAGACUCCUACGGGAGGCAGCAGCAGGGAAUCUUGCGCAAUGGGCGAAAGCCUGACGCAGCGACGCCGCGUGGGGGAUGAAGGCCUUCGGGUUGUAAACCCCUUUCAGGAGGGACGAAAUCGACGGUACCUCCAGAAGAGGCCCCGGCCAACUACGUGCCAGCAGCCGCGGUAAGACGUAGGGGGCAAGCGUUGUCCGGAUUUAUUGGGCGUAAA
rnacentral:rRNA from 1 species